CCUGAAAAGAAAAAACUCAUUUGAUUAGAUCUCAUCCAUAAUCAAUAUUUAAGUGAGGCAUGAAUAUAUGAACAAAGAUCGAGGCCAUGAACUAUUUCUAUAUGCAAUUUAUUAGUUACUUUGUUUGAGACUUACAUUUUAUUAUUGAUUGGUCUUUUUUAUAGGUGACACUCACUUCUAUCAAGGAUCUUGUGUCUGUGUUUCAAAGGAACCAUUUGAAGAUGAAAAUAAGAAUAAUUUUGGGAGGGAACUUUCAGACAAGGUGUUCAAAUAGCCUAAACAGUUUGAACUUGAAGAAUAUUCAUUCAAAAUUCAUCACAAAACAAUUAAAGUACAAAAUUUAACACUAAUUUUAUAUUACACACUCAUGACAUCUUACUAUGUCUAAACUCAUCCUCUAAUAGUGAGUAAAUUAAUAGUUUUCGUUUGAAGUUUAUGACUUUCAUCAAGUUUAUUUGUCUUUCCUUUUCUUUCCUUUAAAAAAAGUUGAAAUCAUGAUAACAUGGACAAUCAAUCAAACUCUCUUCUAUAUUGGGAUUACUACUAACCAAGGAAAUGUAACAAUUUUCAUUCAUAAUGCUUUUUUCAAUUUUUAAUAACAAAGUCAAAAUCUUUGAUUAA